rnacentral:misc_RNA from 1 species
GCGGGUAUUUAUCUCUGAUGAUUUUGAUGGAGAGCUGUUUCCACGAUAUCUGAGCUUUGUGAAGGGUGUGGUUGACUCUGAUGAUCUUCCUCUUAAUGUCUCUCGAGAAAUUCUUCAAGAGAGCCGAAUUGUAAGAAUUAUGAGAAAGAGACUUGUCAGGAAAACAUUUGACAUGAUUCAAGAGCUCUCAGAAAGUGAAAAUAAGGAGGAUUACAAGAAAUUCUGGGAGAAUUUUGGCAGGUUUCUCAAAUUAGGAUGUAUUGAAGACACUGGUAAUCACAAGCGCAUAACUCCUUUGCUGCGGUUCUACACCUCCAAAAGUGAGGAUG